GGGGCUCGGACUGACACCGGACAGGACUCUGCGAAAGCAGCAGCAGAGAAGGAGGGCUGACUUGUACCUCCUUGGCCGGGCGGAGGGAGGAGGUGGUGCACGGAGGUGUUUAGGAGGGACAGACUGAGAUUGAAGCCGCCGGUCGGGACCGGGAGCUCCGUCCGCCGCUGCUGCUGUAACCCCGGACAUCAUCAACAUGGAGCUGGAGAACAUCGUAGCCAACACGGUGCUGCUGAAAGCACGGGAAGGAGGCGGCGGGAACAGAAAAGGAAAAAGCAAGAAAUGGAAGCAGCUGCUGCAGUUCCCCCACGUCAGUUUGUGUGAAGAGCUGCGACAAAGUAUAGGUAAGAUGAUGACUACAGCAGCCUCUUUA